CGAAAGUUAGAGGUUCGAAGGCGAUCAGAUACCGCCCUAGUUCUAACCAUAAACGAUGCCAGCCAGCGAUCCGGCUGUGUUCCUCAAAUGACACGCCGGGCAGCUUCCGGGAAACCAAAGCUUUUGGGUUCCGGGGGAAGUAUGGUUGCAAAGCUGAAACUUAAAGGAAUUGACGGAGGGGCACCACCAGACGUGGAUGUUGCGGUUCAAUUUGACUCAACGCAGCAAAUCCUACCAGGCCAGGACACAGGAAGGAUUGACAGAUUGAGAGCUCUUUCUUGAUUCUGUGGGUGGUGGUGCAUGGCCGUUCCUGGUUCGUGGAGCGAUUUGUCUUGUUUAUUCUGAUAACGGACGAGAUUCUAGCCUACUAAAUAGACGCUUCGAUCCUUCGAGUCGAGCGUUCUUCUUAGAGGGACAGGCGGUGUUUAGCCGCACGAGGCAGAGCAAUAACAGGUCUGUAAUGCCCUUAGAUGUCCUGGGCCACACGCGUCCUACAUUGAAGGAAUCAACGUGUGCUUUCCCUGUCCGAAGGGACUGGGUAACCCGUUGAACCUCCUUCGUGCUGGGGAUAGGAAAUUGUAAUUAUUUUCCUUGAACGAGGAACUUCUAGUAAGCGCGAGUCAUCAUCUCGGGUUGAUUAGGUCCCUGCCCCUUGUCCACACCGCCCGUCGCUAUUACCGAUUGAAUGAUUUAGUGAGGUCUUCGGACUGGCGCUCGGAUUGGCUUUCGGGUCGAGCCGGCGUGCCGGAAAGAUGACCGAACUUGACCAUUUAGAGGAAAUAAAAGUCGUAACAAGG
rnacentral:rRNA from 1 species